UAUUUUGAUUGUUAUGGGGCAGGCCGAGUGCUCUCGAGAAAAGGCCAUUGAAGAAUUAAGAAAGAGCAAAGGAGAUGUUCAAGUUGCAAUUAACAAUGCUGAAGCAUAAACAACUUCAAAAAAAAAAAAAAAAGAAA
rnacentral:ribozyme from 1 species